rnacentral:misc_RNA from 1 species
UCCGCUGCACUCGUCUGGCUCCUCUCUCCUCACCUCUGCGUAGGCAAGGUUGUGGUUGGCUCGCUCGCACGCACUCGCACUCUGCCUUUUCCAGCACGGUGCGCGCUUCUUCCUCAGCGCCUCCGCCCCCUUCUCUGUAUACCGUGUAGUCGUCUCAAGCCUUCACCCUGUCGAGCGGGCCGCGGUGGCAGCAGGGCGACAGCGUGCACUUUAUCGAGCAUAGACCCCCCCCCCCGCUCCACAUACACACACACACACACACGAGGACUUAAAUCCCUCUUGCAUUACGAGACUUCCCAUCCUUACCGUCACCGUCGACGUGUUCUCAUUUGUGCUGAUCCCUACCCCCGCAGACUCGCUUUCGUUCCUCUUCUGCCCCCUCACAAUCUUGUCAAGAUGCGCGCGGCUCGUAAUUGGCAAAGGGCGGAUUUCUUCCGUCACAUCCCGAGAGACCUUACGGAGCCCACAACUGCCGGCUCCAUCAUCUCGGUCGCGUGCGUUGUCGUGAUGGUUCUGCUGUUUGCCGGGGAGGUCAUCUCUUACGUUUUCCCUCGCAUCCAGUCCGACAUGAUUAUCAUGCCUGAUCUGGACGACCGGAACACCAUCAAGGUGUCCAUGGACAUGACGUUCCCGAAGAUGCCCUGCGCCGUUUUGACUCUCGACAUCCUCGACGUAUUGCACAACCACAUGUUCAACUCGAUGGAGCACAUUACCCGAACGCGCCUUGAUGCCGCCGGGCAGCCGAUCUCCGAUGGGCGCUCCAGUGACGACUUCGUCAGCGUCGCGGAGGGGUGCCGUCUCGAGGGCUACAUCAAAGUUGCCAAAGUCCCCGGUAACUUCCACAUCUCGUCACAUGGGCGGCAGCAUCUGCUUGCGCAGCACUUUCCGAACGGUAUCAACGUCGAGCACAGUAUCCAUCACCUGUCCUUCGGUACCAUCGAUGUAAAGAAGCUUGCCAAGAAGGCUGCACUGCACCCGCUUGAUGGGAAAGAGCACCGGAGCGAGGUGCCGAUGGUCUACCAGUACUUCCUCGAUAUCGUGCCCACAAUAUACGAGAGCAGCUUCUCCACCGUCCACACGUACCAGUUCACGGGGACGUCGAGCAGCACUCCCGUGCCCGCGAGGCAGAUGGCUGCCGUUGUAUUCCAGUACCAGCUGUCCCCCAUCACGGUGCGCUACUCGCUCGCACGCGUCUCGUUGACCCACUUUCUGACGUACGUCUGCGCUAUCAUCGGCGGCGUCUACACCGUGGCGGGACUGCUGUCGCGCUUCGUGCACAGCUCUGCAGCUCAGUUUCAGCGUCGUGUACUGGGCAAGGGGGACUAAGCACCUCUUCGCGUGCCUUUGGAAAGGCCUGUGGACUCGUGCACCUGUGUAAGCGCGCACGUGUGUCUGCACGUUGCGAGAUCUGACGUAUAUGCGUGUGUACUUGCAGACGCGAGAGUGUUCAAGCUAUCUCUCGGCUGGGCGGCGGAGCCGCACUCCUCGCACCGGUGGAGACGGGACGGGCUUCCUGUCACGGUGUCACGGCGCGCCCCCUGCCUCGCUUUCUGUCCCUCGUGUCUGCCGGUGUUGGAGCGCACCAUCAUGAUUCUUCUUCGCGGCGUCGCUCUCGCUCUCUUGUGGUAUGCAGCUCCUGUUACCACUGCUGCGGCAAUGUUACUGUGGCACCGCGUCUUCGCCCUUGCCGCCUGUCUGCCUUCCUCCCUCGCUUGCUGCUGCACACUUUGUGCUGCGGGCGUGCGCGUUGCAGGGGACGACGGAACGCGCAGCAGAGGCUGCAGCAGAGACACGGCGCCCCGCUUCUGUGAACUCCGCGACGGGGCUUCCACGGAGCACCUGUAUACUCGUGAUCUCUGAAGAUGCAGAGAAAAAGGCUGUCAAACAGCAACGUGGUAGUCGGCCGGGCAGGACGACGAGUCAGCGGUGAAGGUGAUGGCCCUUACUCGCCCCCUCCCCCCAAGUCCCUCCAGGCACGUCGGCCCUCUUUCACUUGUCGGUUCGCCACGCCCCCGUGGCGUGGGAAAGGCGAGAGCUUCGAACCUGGCACACGAGGCUGCAACGCAGCGUACAUAAUGGUACAAC